AAAAACAUCAACAAACUGACAGCGGUUGUCAAGUUUAAUGAGCACAACUUUUAUACUUAUCAAUUUUUAAGUGCAAGCAGCAGCGGAGGUAGGACGAACUCAGAAGACUGCAGAUAAGUGGUCCUGGAGCAGCGUCCGGGGAAGCAAGGGGAAACGAGUCCUGGAACAGUGAGAGGAAACGAGUCCUAGAGCAAUUCAAGGCGUCCUGCACUAGGACACCAUUUAUUGCCCAUCACACUCUUGCUGUUUCACACUUGGCCCAGCAGUUUAA